GUAGGGUGCGAGCGUUGUCCGGAAUUAUUGGGCGUAAAGGGCUCGUAGGCGGUUUGUCGCGUCGGGAGUGAAAACACUGGGCUUAACUCAGUGCUGGCUUUCGAUACGGGCAGACUAGAGGUAUGCAGGGGAGAACGGAAUUCCUGGUGUAGCGGUGAAAUGCGCAGAUAUCAGGAGGAACACCGGUGGCGAAGGCGGUUCUCUGGGCAUUACCUGACGCUGAGGAGCGAAAGUGUGGGGAGCGAACAGGAUUAGAUACCCUGGUAGUCCACACCGUAAACGUUGGGCGCUAGGUGUGGGGCCUAUUCCAUGGGUUCCGUGCCGCAGCUAACGCAUUAAGCGCCCCGCCUGGGGAGUACGGCCGCAAGGCUA
rnacentral:rRNA from 1 species